rnacentral:piRNA from 1 species
UUUCUUUGGGUGUAUGGCAGGGAU